UGAGAACAGAGCUGGGUUUGUUCCCAGGAAUCCAGCGUGCCUGGGCUGAAAGCAGCAGCUGACAGUGCUGGAGAAGGAGGGUCUGUCUGCAAGCAACAGAAAAGAGAAGGUGAAAGUACCAUGGGGCAAUUCCUGAGCAAUGAAGUGUGGGUCAGCACACAGUUGAACUGCAGACGGCAGCAAGAGGAGCCAGGUGAAAGGACAAGACAAAGACAGCGAGAGGGAGUUGGCAGCCGCGUGAGCAGACUGCAGCACGGAACAGCCUCAUGCACAGGGCUGAGCAGCCAGCUUUGCAGAUUGUGAUUCAUCCCAGCCUCAAGCAGUCGUGCUCCCAGACAACACCCCCAAGCAGCAGCACCCGAGCCUCGUUGCUGAACGUCUCGUCGACUCCAAGGAGCAUAGCACUGUUCAUGGCUGUGGGGCAACCCGCUCAGAGAUACUGUAUCGGGCCGGGUCAUUGGCAGCUGUUCUGACCUAUACAUAAGUGAGAGUGGGAUUCCCAGGCACUGGGUGGAUAUGUCAGGCUCCCAGCAAGAGGAGCAGUGGGCAGAGAUCUCAGCCAUUCUUUACUGAGCUGCAGAGGCACUGUGUGCAUGCUGGUGGGGAGGGAUGGGCCAUAUCUAUAUGGAUUUGUACGGUAUGAAUUGGGGAGCUGUAUCCAUUUAUGGGGCGUUAAUCUGACAUACAGAAUUGCCAGCUAGUCUGUAUGUCAGAAAGAUGCUGAUUCCCACGCGUGUUAUCUACAGGUGGGACGUCAUUUGCUGUGGGGGAAAGGGGGCAGAAGCCCCUCCAGAUCUUGGUUUGCUCCCCCUCAGACAUUUCAUAGGGCUGUAUGCCACGUCUUCCAAUUUCCCCCCUUCCCCACCUCCCCUACCAUCCCGACUUUGCAGGAUGUAAUGUAAUCCAUGAUAUUUUAUGUGCUGACACCCCUGUCUCUGGGGACGAUCUGAACAGCUGGCGGGAGGGGCAGGGCAGAAGCCCCGAGGACUGAGGGUCUCUGCUUAUCCACAGGCCAGGCCAGGCCAGGCCAGCCUGAGCAGCAGCAGCAGCAGCAAAAGCUGCCCGUGUGUUCUGCCCUGUUCACUCUUCUAGACUCCCCAGCAUUCCCAGGCAGCUGCCAGCAUUACUGGGGUCUGAGGGCUCUGAGGCGGGCCCCUGUCCAUUCGGAACUGGGCUGAGAUGUCCCCAGAGGCAGCCCAGUAUUUCCCAUUAGCACACUCUGACGGGGCUCUGUUACUGCAAGUGGAGCCCCAAGUUAGUGCUCCGCUGGGCUCGUAGAAUAUUAACUUCUCCGACCCAGCCUCACUCCUUUACAAACCUGGGCUUUUCAGCUGUGGGCUCCAGUGGUUUGCCUGCCCUGGAGAAAUGGAAGCGCAUCCUAGACGGAGGGGUGCAGCUGCAGAGGGCGUG
rnacentral:lncRNA from 1 species